GAAGGAGCACGCCGCGUGAGUGAAGAAGGGUUUCGGCUCGUAAAACUCUGUUGUUAGAGAAGAACAGCCGUGAGAGCAACUGCUCACGGUAUGACGGUAUCUAACCAGAAAGUCACGGCUAACUACGUGCCAGCAGCCGCGGUAAUACGUAGGUGGCAAACGUUGUCCGGAUUUAUUGGGCGUAAAGGGAGCGCAGGCGGUUUAUUAAGUCUGAUGUGAAAGCCUUCGGCUUAACCGGAGAAGUGCAUCGGAAACUGAUAAACUUGAGUGCAGAAAAGGAUAGUGGAACUUCAUGUGUAGCGGUGAAAUGCGUAGAUAUAUGAAGGAACACCAGUGGCGAAGGCGGCUAUCUGGUCUGUAACUGACGCUGAGGCUCGAAAGCAUGGGUAGCAAACAGGAUUAGAUACCCUGGUAGUCCAUGCCGUAAACGAUGAAUGCUAGGUGUUGGAAGGUUUCCGCCUUUCAGUGCCGCAGCUAACGCAUUAAGCAUUCCGCCUGGGGAGUACGACCGCAAGGUUGAAACUCAAAGGAAUUGACGGGGACCCGCACAAGCGGUGGAGCAUGUGGUUUAAUUCGAUGCUACGCGAAGAACCUUACCAGGACUUGACAUCUUCUGCCAAUCUAAGAGAUUAGACGUUCCCUUCGGGGACAGAAUGACAGGUGGUGCAUGGUUGUCGUCAGCUCGUGUCGUGAGAUGUUGGGUUAAGUCCCGCAACGAGCGCAACCCUUGUCUUUAGUUGCCAGCAUUAAGUUGGGCACUCUAGAGAGACUGCCGGUGAUAAACCGGAGGAAGGUGGGGAUGACGUCAAAUCAUCAUGCCCCUUAUGUCCUGGGCUACACACGUGCUACAAUGGGCGAUACAACGAGUUGCGAAACCGCGAGGUCAAGCUAAUCUCUUAAAGUCGUUCUCAGUUCGGAUUGCAGUCUGCAACUCGACUGCAUGAAGUUGGAA
rnacentral:rRNA from 2 species